GAUGAACGCUGGCGGCGUGCUUAACACAUGCAAGUCGAACGAGAAAUGUAGACGGAAACCUUCGGGCGGAAGCCUUCAUUUCGAGUGGGGGACGGGUGAGUAACGCGUGGGUAACCUGCCUCAUACAGGGGGAUAACAGUUGGAAACGACUGUUAAUACCGCAUAAGACCACAGCAUCGCAUGAUGCGGGGGUAAAAACUCCGGUGGUAUGAGAUGGACCCGCGUUCGAUUAGCCAGUUGGCGGGGUAACGGCCCACCAAAGCGACGAUCGAUAGCCGAUCUGAGAGGAUGACCGGCCAUAUUGGGACUGAGACACGGCCCAAACUCCUACGGGAGGCAGCAGUGGGGAAUAUUGCACAAUGGGGGAAACCCUGAUGCAGCGACGCCGCGUGAGUGAAGAAGUACUUCGGUAUGUAAAGCUCUAUCAGCAGGGAAGAAAAUGACGGUACCUGAGUAAGAAGCCCCGGCUAACUACGUG
rnacentral:rRNA from 1 species